rnacentral:rRNA from 1 species
GACGAACGCUGGCGGCGUGCCUAAUGCAUGCAAGUCGAACGAGAAGCUGUUUAUUGAACCUUCGGGUGAUUUAAAAAGUAGACAGUGGCGAACGGGUGAGUAACGCGUGAACAACCAACCUUUCACAGGGGGACAACAUCUGGAAACGGAUGCUAAUACCGCAUAAGACCACACUAUCGCAUGGUAGAGUGGUAAAAACUCCGGUGGUGAAAGACGGGUUCGCGUUCCAUUAGUUAGUAGGUGGGGUAACGGCCUACCUAGACAAUGAUGGAUAGCCGAGCUGAGAGGCUGAUCGGCCACACUGGAACUGAGACACGGUCCAGACUCCUACGGGAGGCAGCAGCAAGGAAUAUUGUCCAAUGGGGGAAACCCUGAGACAGCAACGCCGCGUGAAGGAAGAAGGCCUUCGGGUUGUAAACUUCUGUUUUAAGAGAAGAAACAAAUGACGGUACCUUAAGAGGAAGCCCCGGCAAACUACG